ensembl:lncRNA
GUGAGUCAGAUGUGUUAAUCUCCUCUAUAGGUGAGUCAGGUGUGUUAAUCUCCUCUAUAGUUGAGUCAGGUGUGUUAAUCUCCUCUAUAGGUGAGUCAGGUGUGUUAAUCUAGUCCUCUAUAGGUGAGUCAGGUGUGUUAAUCUCCUCUAUAGGUGAGUCAGGUGUGUUAAUCUAGUCCUCUAUAGGUGAGUCGGGUGUGUUAAUCUCCUCCUCUAUAGGUGAGUCAGAUGUGUUAAUCUAUUCCUCUAUAGGUGAGUCAAGUGUGUUAAUCUCCUCUAUAGGUGAGUCAGGUGUGUUAAUCUCCUCUAUAGGUGAGUCAGGUGUGUUAAUCUAGUCCUCUAUAGGUGAGUCGGGUGUGUUAAUCUCCUCCUCUAUAGGUGAGUCAGAUGUGUUAAUCUAUUCCUCUAUAGGUGAGUCAAGUGUGUUAAUCUCCUCUAUAGGUGAGUCAGGUGUGUUAAUCUCCUCUAUAGGUGAGUCAGGUGUGUUAAU